GAUGAACGCUGGCGGCAUGCCUAACACAGGCAAGUCGAACGAGACCUUCGGGUCUAGUGGCGCACGGGUGCGUAACGCGUGGGAAUCUGCCCUUGGGUUCGGAAUAACAGUUAGAAAUGACUGCUAAUACCGGAUAAUGACGUAAGUCCAAAGAUUUAUCGCCCAAGGAUGAGCCCGCGUAGGAUUAGCUUGUUGGUGAGGUAAAGGCUCACCAAGGCGACGAUCCUUAGCUGGUCCGAGAGGAUGAUCAGCCACACUGGGACUGAGACACGGCCCAGACUCCUACGGGAGGCAGCAGUGGGGAAUAUUGGACAAUGGGCGAAAGCCUGAUCCAGCAAUGCCGCGUGAGUGAUGAAGGCCUUAGGGUUGUAAAGCUCUUUUACCCGGGAUGAUAAUGACAGUACCGGGAGAAUAAGCCCCGGCUAACUACGUGCCAGCCGCCGCGGUAACAC
rnacentral:rRNA from 1 species